rnacentral:rRNA from 1 species
UGGGGGAUAUUGCACAAUGGGCGAAAGCCUGAUGCAGCGACGCCGCGUGGGGGAUGAAGGCUUUCGGGUUGUAAACCUCUUUCGCUAUCGAACAAGGCCCGCUUAGGGUGGGUUGAGGGUAGGUGGAGAAGAAGCGCCGGCUAACUACGUGCCAGCAGCCGCGGUAAUACGUAGGGCGCGAGCGUUGUCCGGAAUUAUUGGGCGUAAAGGGCUUGUAGGCGGCUUGUUGCGCCUGCUGUGAAAACGCGGGGCUUAACUUCGCGCGUGCAGUGGGUACGGGCAGGCUUGAGUGUGGUAGGGGUGACUGGAAUUCCAGGUGUAGCGGUGGAAUGCGCAGAUAUCUGGAGGAACACCGAUGGCGAAGGCAGGUCACUGGACCAUUACUGACGCUGAAGAGCGAAAGCAUGGGUAGCGAACAGG